AUCUCUUCUGCCCAAAAGGUCUAGAGAAGUUUUGGACACAAAACACUUUAUACUAAGGUCAAGUGCAGUAUCUGUUCUUAUUACUUUAAUAUCUGAUGCCUCUUCUCUCUGAGGACAGUAUACGAAAUGGAUUUUUGGAUUUUUGGAGCAGAGAGAUGGAACAAGAGCUUGUUCUGUCCACUGGAC
rnacentral:snRNA from 1 species